UGCUACAAUGGCGUAAACAAAGGGAAGCGAGCCGGUGACGGUAAGCGAAUCCCAAAAAUAACGUCCCAGUUCGGAUUGUAGUCUGCAACCCGACUACAUGAAGCUGGAAUCGCUAGUAAUCGCGGAUCAGAACGCCGCGGUGAAUACGUUCCCGGGUCUUGUACACACCGCCCGUCACACCAUGGGAGCCGGAAACGCCCGAAGCCAGCGGCCCAACCGCAAGGGGGGAGCUGUCGAAGGCGGGGCCGGUGACCGGGGUGAAGUCGUAACAAGGUAGC
rnacentral:rRNA from 1 species